rnacentral:tRNA from 1 species
GAGAUCGUGGCUCAGUGGUAGAGCACUCACCUAGCAUGUGAGAGGCACAGGGUUCGAUUCUCAGCAUCACA